UCCUGACCCAGCUUCACUGAGGACACGUUUGUUGUUUCUCGGAAGUGACGAAACCAAAGUACCGAUGGCGGCUCACAGUUUGCUCCCGGAUAUGUACUGAAACGAAUUUGAUGGCGUCUGAUUGGACUUUUUGCACACUUGGCCAUUUGUAUGAAGUCUUGAGAUUAACAUCGAACCUGUCGAGCACAAGAAUCGUCAAUCCGAGGAGGAAUAAUUUGCUGUAGAGCUGGCUAGAUCCAGAGCUAGCUGCCCUGUCAAUGAAAUUCAAGUGCAGUUAGCCUGUGAUCGCAGAGGUUUGUUUGUGUGCGUGGCUACACACUUUAAGACGUUUGACAUUUUAGCAGUUUUGUGACACUGGCUGGUCCAAGUGCAGCAGAGUCUUAGGUUUGUGUAGUUCAGCUAGCCUCGCUUGCGUUACUUUAAAAGCAAAGAAGCGGCGGGAAGUGGUUAGCCGACCUGAUUAGCUCUAGCCGUAGUUCCAGCUCUUCUGAAGUCAUUGGUCUCUAGUGGAUAGUGUGAGUCUCUUCUAUGAUUCACCGGUUCGCCGUUCAUCGACUGUCAGCAUGUUGAAGACACGUCAGUGUUUACUUGGGAUUCGUACCUUCCUUGGAGUGACGUCUAGAAUAUGGAGUUUCAUUUUAUACAUCCUCAGGAAGCAUUUACGAACGAUAAUCCAGUACCAAACAGUGCGUUAUGACACAUUACCUCUCUCCCCUAUUUCCAGAAACAGACUCAAUGCGGUAAAGAGGAAGAUAUUGGUGUUGGAUCUGGAUGAGACCUUGAUUCAUUCUCACCAUGAUGGUGUCCUUAGACCUACAGUGAGGCCUGGUACACCGCCAGACUUUAUCCUCAAGGUGGUAAUAGACAAACACCCAGUCAGGUUUUUUGUCCAUAAAAGGCCACACGUCGACUUCUUUUUAGAAGUGGUUAGUCAGUGGUAUGAGCUGGUAGUAUUUACAGCUAGUAUGGAGAUAUAUGGAUCGGCUGUAGCAGAUAAGCUGGAUAACAACAGGGAUAUCCUCAAAAGAAGAUACUACAGACAGCACUGCACUCUGGAUUUAGGAAGCUACAUAAAAGAUCUGUCUGUAGUACACAGUGAUCUCUCCAGUAUAGUCAUUCUGGACAACUCGCCUGGAGCUUAUCGAAGUCACCCAGACAAUGCAAUACCUAUAAAGUCGUGGUUCAGUGACCCAAGCGACACAGCACUUCUUAACCUGCUCCCAAUGUUGGAUGCAUUGAGUUCAAUACGGUCAAUACAGUUCAGAAUGUCAAAACUCCCACUUCAUUUUCUUCCCCAACUUUAAAAUCAUCCUACAUCGCUGCAGAAGUCCCAACUAAGUGUUUACAAGGUGAUCAUGCAAAGAACAUCAAACGCCCUUUACAAAAAAUAAGGUAAAACAGAGGAGUAGGACGAUUUUGACGUGGAAGAAGAAAUUGAGACAGGAGUUUUUCGACAUACCCUAACUAUAUUGACCUGGAUUACACAGACUACUUAUGCAUCGCAGAGAUGAGGCAAGACAAGCAUUUGAGGUUUACCUCAGAUGUUCGCUCCGUCCUCAGUCGAAAUCUCCACCAGCAUCGGCUUUGGUGAUCGUAUCUGUCAGGGCCAGUCUCUCUUCUGGUCAGCGUCUGGUUUUUACACAGCUCUGCCCGCUAAGUGUUAGCCUCUCCUGCGUUGGAACUGUCAGCCUCUCGUCAUUGUGAGCUCCCAUUAGUCUUAUGGACUCCUCUGAGGAAAUGCUAUGAGAAGACAUGGGGGGACAGAAAGGAGACACACAUGAUGAAGAAGCUAUUACAAAUAAACUCAAGACAAAUGGAGAGGCCAGCAUUUUUUCUUGUAUUUUUUUUUUUU